rnacentral:rRNA from 1 species
GACGAACGCUGGCGGCGUGCCUAAUACAUGCAAGUUGAGCGCUGAAGGUUGGUACUUGUACCAACUGGAUGAGCAGCGAACGGGUGAGUAACGCGUGGGGAAUCUGCCUUUGAGCGGGGGACAACAUUUGGAAACGAAUGCUAAUACCGCAUAAAAACUUUAAACACAAGUUUUAAGUUUGAAAGAUGCAAUUGCAUCACUCAAAGACGAUCCCGCGUUGUAUUAGCUAGUUGGUGAGGUAAAGGCUCACCAAGGCGAUGAUACAUAGCCGACCUGAGAGGGUGAUCGGCCACAUUGGGACUGAGACACGGCCCAAACUCCUACGGGAGGCAGCAGUAGGGAAGCUUCGGCAAUAGACGAAAGUCUGACCGAGCAACGCCGCGUGAGUGAAGAAGGGUUUCGGAUCGUAAAACUCGGUUGGUAGAGAAGAACGUUGGUGAGAGUGGAAAGCUCAUCAAGUGACGGUAACUACACAGAAAGGGACGGCUAACUACGUG